UCUCUGGUAGUCUUGGGGGUCCCGAAUUGGAGCAUAACAAAGGUUACCAUGGCCCCUGUGCACGGAAGACAUGCAAAUUCAUGAAGAGUCCCGUAUGUUU
rnacentral:snRNA from 1 species